AGAGUUUGAUCCUGGCUCAGGAUGAACGCUAGCGGGAGGCUUAACACAUGCAAGGCGAGGGGAAACGGAAGUGGCUUGCCACUAGACGUCGACCGGCGCACGGGUGCGUAACGCGUAUACAAUCUGCCUUAUACUGGAGAAUAGCCCAGAGAAAUUUGGAUUAAUGCUCCAUAGUCUUUCUCUCUCGCAUGGGAGAGUUUGUAAAGCUUCGGCGGUAUAAGAUGAGUAUGCGUUCUAUUAGCUAGUUGGUGAGGUAACUGCUCACCAAGGCUACGAUAGAUAGGGGUUCUGAGAGGAUGAUCCCCCACACUGGUACUGAGACACGGACCAGACUCCUACGGGAGGCAGCAGUGAGGAAUAUUGGUCAAUGGACGAAAGUCUGAACCAGCCAUCCCGCGUGAAGGAUGACGGCGCUAUGCGUUGUAAACUUCUUUUAUAUACCAAGAAAAGUAGUCACGUGUGAUUAUCUGACGGUAGUAUAUGAAUAAGGACCGGCUAACUCCGUGCCAGCAGCCGCGGUAAUACGGAGGGUCCGAGCGUUAUCCGGAUUUAUUGGGUUUAAAGGGUUUGUAGGCGGUAAUAUAAGUCAGUGGUGAAAUCCUGCAGCUCAACUGUAGAACUGCCAUUGAAACUGUAUUACUUGAGUAUACUUGAGGUAGGCGGAAUAUGUAGUGUAGCGGUGAAAUGCUUAGAUAUUACAUAGAACACCGAUUGCGAAGGCAGCUUACUAAGGUAUAACUGACGCUGAUGAACGAAAGCGUGGGGAGCGAACAGGAUUAGAUACCCUGGUAGUCCACGCCGUAAACGAUGAUUACUCGCUGUAGGCGAUACACAGUCUGUGGCUAAGCGAAAGUUUUAAGUAAUCCACCUGGGGAGUACGAUCGCAAGA
rnacentral:rRNA from 1 species